GUGCUUGCCUUGGCAGCACAUAUAUUAAAAUUGGAAUGAUACAAAGAAGAUUAGCAUGGCUCCUGCAGAAGGAUGACAUGCAAAUUAGUGAAGCAUUUCAUAUUUUU
ensembl:snRNA U6 U6 spliceosomal RNA